CCAAACCCGAGAAGAAUAAAUAUCAAAACAAGAUCGCCGUACACUCCAAGAACAAUCUACCUACGAAACACAAAUUCCGAGGUUCAACCGAUUUGUAUUACUAUUUCGUUAAAUCUUAUCAGAAAAAUGCGAAACAGAGUUAAAUGUUCGAUCAUCAUCACAACGGAUCGACGCCAACAGAAUCACCAGAUCACCGUCAACAAUUUACCUACGAAACACAAAAUCCCAGAUUCGGCUGAUUUCAAUCAUGAUAGAUUUAAUUAGAAAGAUCUAAAAACCCAAUUCAACUAUAGCUCCGAACCGAAACCUAAAUGAAUAAACCAGUAGCAAAAGAGAGAAACAAACGCUGCCGGUAAAACUUUAAAAAGCUUAAACGUCAAUCCCGGUUUUUCCCCUAUUCCGUACGGGCAGUAAGUGAGAGCUGAGGAGAUGUAUUUAUAGAAUAAGAGGCUCAAAA
rnacentral:lncRNA from 1 species